GGUGGAGAGUGAAAAGGGUGAUUGUGGCACUAAGGGAUAGGUAGGGCUCAGAUGGGACUCAGUAGGUCAUCUUGAUGGCUGGACUUGGUGAACUUGAAGGCCCUUCCCAACCUGGAUGAUUCUGUGACUCUAAGAGGUAUCAGGGCAGAGAACAAUGGUUGUGAAGAUGUCUCUGCCUUCCCUGGAGGAAAAGAGCUGUUCUUUUAGGAAAUAUUAGAGGCAGAUUUGCCCAGGGGAUUUGGGGUUUAAUCAGAGCUCCUGGACCUCCAAGAGUUGACUGCCAGCUGUGGAGGCCACCAGGGUCACCUGGAGAAGAAGAGCUGAAGAGACCAAGCUGUCCCUGGGCAGAAAGUCCCAUAGGCCAGCAUGCGGUAGGCUAAGCUGUCUGCUGGAGGGGCCCAGGCGAACCCUGAGGGAGGAAGUUUUCCAGUAUAUCGGCAGGAAGAAAGGGCAAUUCUCUGUGAACAUCGUCGUGGUGCAAAAACAAAGUCCUUCCUCAUCAGGGAAGAAUUUGACAGGCCUCACUGGUAGCCAGUGCCGUGGCACGCAAAAUUUGGCCUGUACCAAUUCCAGAGGUCUAUUCACCUCCUGCAAUGGGCUUCAGACUCUCAUCUUGGGGUGCACACAGAAGAAACCAACUCUGGCAGGCAGAGCCAUCUCAGCAUGAAGUGUUUGCACCUUCACAACCUGUCACCAUCACCUACUUCUGCUUUCUGUAGCUUCAGAAGAAUCAAGUUCACCCAGACCCAUGGAGGACCAUCUUCAUGUCCCAUAGCACAGCACAUCUGAAUCUUUCUUGAAACUAUGUAGUGCCCUAGGCUCAUGGGAAAACUGACUGUUGGCUAUUGUAACCUUUCUGCACCAGCUCCAUUUGCCUCUCAAAUUAUUUCUGCAUAUGAAUUAUCCUUCUGCAAUCCGGGCUAACUGUUUGCUUAAGAUAAUUUGUUGUUACUCUGAACUCACACAGUAAUUAUAUGGAUUUUGAGACGGACUCACAGAGAGUAGUGGUCACAUAUCGUCCAAAACUUAGGAUCCAAACCGAGUUUUGUUUCAGCUAUCAUCAGCUGCAGAGGUCACAGUUAAGUAAAAUCGGCUUUAACUGGGACUGGAAAACUGUCUGCUACAUUAGCAGAGAGAUCAGAUGACAGAUUUGGUCUGGCCUCAUUAUCUAGCCAUAAAAAUGUAAGGGCCUGAAGUAUUUGGGGAAUGGGAAUGCAGAGAGCAGGAGGGAUUUCUGGAGGAUCUCUAUGCAGUACUUGCUGUCUGAGCAAAGGAGCCCGAAGGACCCUUCCCCCCCAGCCUGUCUGAUGUGAGCUCUUAUCUCCAACGACAAACUGAAACCAGGAGAAUCAGUCUCUUCCUUUUGCAAACAGUUGGGGGAACAGGGGCUCCUGUGUGUCUACAACAUCUCACAUUUAUUUUUAGCUUCUUCUAUUUGGUUAGUGAGGUCACUGGAGCCCAGGCUUAAACAUGUUUUAAGCAAAUGUUACCCUGACCUUCCAGAGCUCUGAGUUUCCUGUAGCUAUACAUACCCGAAAGGAACAGAGCUAAUGGUGCAAGGGAAUGUUAUAUUAGCAUUUUAGGCGACAGUUCAAAUAGCUAUGUAUCCUCAUUUAUUGCAACACUUUUUGGGGAUAUGAAAAGUGUAAAAU